CUAUUGAACAAUUGAAAGGAAAGACAAUAAACACAGAACAAAAUAAAUAAAUAAAUAAAUGUUGUUCAAAAAAGCAAUUUGAAAAAGAUGUUUAAUUGUUUUGAAGGUUUUAACUUCUUAUGACUAAAACAAGUCAAAUCCGACUUAAAACCAAUUUUUAAUAACCACUAAUAAAUUUAAUGCGUUUUUUCUCAAUAACUCCAACAAUGCCAAACAGACCUUACCCCAUAUAAGAGUCUUUACAGUUCACCUUAUUUUUCCAUUCACUAAGUUGACUUGCAACAAGCUUCUAAAAUUUGUUGUGGCAACAGUCACGUCCUUUCUUCUAACUCUUAACUAUAAGUGCUUUAUCUUUUCAAGUUCAAUUAUAGAUAUUUCCACAAAUAACUUAUGGAACCAUUAUAAUGCACAAGGAUAUUGAUGAAGUUCUAUAAACGAAAAAGAUAACCAAAACGCAGAACAAUACUAACACAUCUUUAUCAGAAAGAGCUAUAAACAAAACAGAAAACCAAAACGCAGAACAAUACUAACACAUCUUUAUCAGAAAGAGCUAUAAACAAAACAGAA
rnacentral:misc_RNA from 1 species